GUUGAUCUUUUCUCUGUAUUGCCUUAAAUGAGAAUGUAGUUUAUUUUAUGAAACCUUCUCUGCAAGGAUUUCUUACAUUUCCCUGCUCUACUUUAUGGAACUCUCCAGGGAGUCAGGAAAGGGAAGGAUUUAUCUGCAGCCUCAAUUUUUCCCCCCCCACAAGAAUUAACCUGCAUAUCUAAUGGUUACCUCCCAGUUUGAUAAUCAGCAAAUACUACAGGAUGAAGAGGUGGUUAAUUCAACCAACACUUCCUGUUUCAGAGAGAUGAGAAUAAGGGGUGCAGUGAUGUUCUGAUUAGGAAAGAAACAGAAGGCAGUGGUGGCAAGAGAGAAGCAAAGGAAAGAAAACAUGCAAGGAAAGGAGACAGAACUGCAGAAGGUAGAAGUGUGGCUGACAGCCCUGGAAUCCCCCAGGACCACAGUCAGCAGCGAAGAGAAUUACCUUGCGGAAAAGACACAGCUGGCAGGAAAGAUGUCAACCACAGGAGAUCAGAAUACAGACAUGUUGAUAUGGUCUGAGGGGGAAAAAAGAGAAAAAUGGAAGUGAGCCCUCCCUCUAAGGUCACACAGAUCCUGCGGUCAGUAGAUCCCUGCUGAGACCCCCCCUUCCUAAUUGAUUGUCUUGCCCAGGAGGAAGCUAAAGACUCUCCAGGAGCUAAAGAAAUGGGAACUGCACUUUCCA